rnacentral:rRNA from 1 species
AGAGGUUUGAUCCUGGCUCAGAACGAACGCUGGCGGCGUGUUUAAGACAUGCAAGUCGCACGGAAUAAUUUAAGUAGUAAUACCUAAUGAGUUCAGUGGCGCACGGGUGAGUAACACGUGAAUUACAUGCCCUUCAGUGGGGAAUAGCCCAGGGAAACUUGGAUUAAUACCCCAUGGUAUCGCAAGAUUAAAGGUGGCCGCAAGGCUGUCGCUGAAGGAUUGGUUCGCGCCCUAUCAGCUUGUUGGUGAGGUAACGGCUCACCAAGGCUACGACGGGUACCUGGUCUGAGAGGACGAUCAGGCACACUGGAACUGAGACACGGUCCAGACACCUACGGGUGGCAGCAGUCGAGAAUAAUUCACAAUGGGGGCAACCCUGAUGGUGCAACGCCGCGUGGAGGAUGACGGUCUUCGGAUUGUAAACUCCUGUCAUCCGGGAGAAAGACCUGGGAGUUAAUAGCUCACAGGGGUUGAUAGUACCGGAAGAGGAAGGGACGGCUAACUUCGUGCCAGCAGCCGCGGUAAUACGAAGGUCCCAAGCGUUGUUCGGAAUCACUGGGCGUAAAGGGAGCGUAGGCGGCCGCGGUAAGUCGGAUGUGAAAUCCCGGGGCUCAACCCCGGAACUGCAUCUGAUACUGCCGUGCUUGAGUAAUGGAGGGGUAGCUGGA